AUUGAACGCUGGCGGCAUGCCUAACACAUGCCAGUCGAGCGAAUGAAGGGAGCUUGCUCCCGGAUUAAGCGGCGGACGGGUGAGUAAUGCCCAGGAAUCUGCCUUGUCUUGGGGGAUGACGUCCGGAAACGGGCGCUAAUAUCGCAUCCGUCCUGAUGUCGAAAGUGGGGGAUCUUCGGACCUCACGCUUUCUGAUGAGCCUAGGACGUAUUAGCUAGUUGGUGGGGUAAAUGCCUACCGAGGCGACGAUCCUGAACUGGUCUGAGAGGAUGAUCAGACACACUGGAACUGAGACACGGUCCAGACUCCUACGGGAGGCAGCAGUGGGGAAUAUUGCACAAUGGGCGAAAGCCUGAUCCAGCAAUGCCGCGUGUGUGAUGAAGGUCUUCGGAUUGUAAAGCACUUUAAGUUGGGAGGAAGGACAGUAAGUUUAUACCUGGCUGUUUUGACGGUACCAACAGAAUAAGCACCGGCUAACUUCGUG
rnacentral:rRNA from 1 species